UACGAAGGGGGGCUAGCGUUGUUCGGAUUUACUGGGCGUAAAGCGCACGUAGGCGGAUCGUUAAGUCAGGGGUGAAAUCCUGGGGCUCAACCCCCAGAACUGCCUUUGAUACUGGCGAUCUCGAGUCCGGAAGAGGUGAGUGGAACUCCUAGUGUAGAGGUGGAAUUCGUAGAUAUUAGGAAGAACACCAGUGGCGAAGGCGGCUCACUGGUCCGGUACUGACGCUG
rnacentral:rRNA from 1 species